GAUGAACGCUAGCGACAGGCUUAACACAUGCAAGUCGAGGGGCAGCAUAGAAGUAGCAAUACUUUGGUGGCGACCGGCGCACGGGUGAGUAACGCGUAUGCAACCUACCUAUCAGAGGGGAAUAACCCGGCGAAAGUCGGACUAAUACCGCAUAAAACAGGGGCACCGCAUGGUGAUAUUUGUUAAAGAAAUUCGCUGAUAGAUGGGCAUGCGUUCCAUUAGGUAGUUGGUGAGGUAACGGCUCACCAAGCCGACGAUGGAUAGGGGAACUGAGAGGUUGGUCCCCCGCACUGGUACUGAGACACGGACCAGACUCCUACGGGAGGCAGCAGUGAGGAAUAUUGGUCAAUGGGCGGGAGCCUGAACCAGCCAAGUCGCGUGAAGGAAGAAGGAUCUAUGGUUCGUAAACUUCUUUUGCAGGGGAAUAAAGUGCAGGACGUGUCCUGUUUUGUAUGUACCCUGAGAAUAAGGAUCGGCUAACUCCGUGCCAGCAGCCGACGG
rnacentral:rRNA from 1 species